GAUGAACGCUGGCGGCGUGCCUAACACAUGCAAGUCGAGCGAACAGACGAGGAGCUUGCUCCUCUGACGUUAUCGCCGGACGGGAGAGUAACACGUGGAUAACCUAACUAUAAGACUGGGAUAACUACGGGAAACCGGAGCUAAUACCGGAUAAUAUAUUGAGCCGCAUGGUUCAAUAGUGAAAGACGGUUUUGCUGUCACUUAUAGAUGGAUCCGCGCCUCAUUAGCUAGUUGGUAAGGUAACGGCUUACCAAGGCAACGAUGCGUAGCCGACCUGAAAGGGACGUCGGCCAGAUUGGAACUGAGGAACAGUCGAGACACCUAGGGGAGGCAACAGUCGAGAAUCCUACGCGAUGGGGGAGAGCCGGACGGAGCAACGCCGGCGGAGUGAUGAAGCUCUUCGGAUGGGUGAACGCUGUUAGUAGGAGAGAACAAAUGUUUAAGUAACUGUGCUCAUCAUGACGGUACCGGGUCAGAAAGCCACGGCUAACUACGUG
rnacentral:rRNA from 1 species